UUGUAUCUUGUCGAGGAGGACUACAGUACCAUUUAUUUUUGUAUUUUUGUAUUUCACCAAUUUCAGACUUCCUCUAUUGACAGAAGCAGAGAGAUGGUUUUGCAAGGGCUGAUUCGAUACCUGUGUGAGAAACCAGGAGACUUAAUCCAGGAGUACAGUUGAGAGGCAGCGGUUCAAGGAGACUUCAUCAGACCUCAAUCCAACAGAACAACUUUGGGAUGAAUCAGUGGAAACUGAGAGCCAGUCUCCUCAUCCAACAUCUGAGAGAUGCCUAUGCAGAGCGGGGACUUCCUCCAUUGACAGAAGCAGAGCGAUGGUUUUGCCAGGGCUGAUUCGAUACCUGUGUCAGAAACCAGGAGACUUAAUCCAGGAGUACAGUUGAGAGGCAGCGGUUCAAGAAGACUUCAUCAGACCUCAAUCCAACAGAACACCUUUGGGAUGAAUCAGUGGAAACUGAGAGCCAGUCUCCUCAUCCAACAUCAGUGUGUGACCUCACAAAUACGCUUCUGGAAGAAUGGUCGAAAAUUCAAAUGAACACACUCCUAAACCUUGUGGAAAGCCUUCCCAGAAGAAUAGAAACUUUUAUACUGUAGCUGCAAAGGGUGGACCAACGUCAUAUGGAUUAAGAAUGGGAUGUCACUCAAGUUCAUAUGCGAGUCAAGGCAGGCAACUCAGUACUUUGGCCAAUAUAGGCUAGUGUAGUGAGUAGAACGAUGCUGCGGUCGUCUUGGAAGGUCAUCUUUUGUAUGUCAGGUUAAAUGUACACUGAAUAAAU